rnacentral:misc_RNA from 1 species
GUGGGAGGGGGCUUGCCCCCGAUAGCAGUGGGUCAGUCAGUAAAUCUGGUGACUGAUACACCGCAAUCGGGGGCAAGCCCCCUCCCAC